rnacentral:misc_RNA from 1 species
UUUGUCGGUUGAUGGGACGCGACGGGCAAACACGGAUCGGAAUGGGGAAAAAGGGGAUGCGAAAGGGGUAAGCGUUCGCUGGGGAAAUGGUGUACGUAAUAAAGAGGGCGCUGAAAGAGAAAGAGGAGGAGAUAAUUCAACAAGAAGGGUGUGUGCGUGGAAAAGUGGGUAAUGAAAGGGUGGCAAAAGGGUGAAAAUAAAAGAGGUGAGAGUAAAGGAAGAAGCUGUGUUAAUGUGUCAUAGAGGGAGAAAGAGAGAGACAGAGAUUAGAUGAGGGUGAGUGCGAAUGAGAAGGAAGGAUGAAGAAAAAAGAAGAGUUGCGUGUGUAUAAGGGUGGUAAGAAAUUGUCCUCUUUGGGGCAGGAAGGAAAAUCCAUUAGCACCGGCAAAUUGACUGGUGAAUUUCCUCGGUUCUAUAAAAAUUGUGCCGCCAGAAUGAUACGAACGAAAAAUAUUAAUUUUUGGACGAGAACUCGCGAGAUCAUUGAAUCUCAUUUGCACUGCGCUUGGACGUCACAUCGUUGGAAUAUGGAAUUUCGCGUUGUUUAUAAACGACAGUUACGCGUUUUGACGUUGUACACAGUCUCAACAAGGAUUCAAUUUACAACAUUCUCAACAAGUCAUCAAAUUCCACGAGAAUCAGCGAGGCCGUAAUUUAGAAGCGACUCAAGGUGAUCCUGUUACGUUGCUGAACCCGUGCAAUGUUCUAUCCGCGGCGAACACAAUCGGUCGACGAGAAAUUCAUUUCACCUGGAUAAGUAACGGUGGAAAAAUGGCAUCGACAGCGGGUAUGAGGCAUUUCCAAUCUCUGGCUGUCCUUUCCGCCGGAUCACAGGCAAAACGACCGCGGCCAGAGAACCGUUAGCAAGAGAGAAAACGCGAAUCGCGAUAAGCUAGUGUAUCGAUUCGAUUUAAGCAUUAUGCCAGCAGCAGUACACUAUGGAAAAAGUACAUCGCCGAUAAACGGUUGGAGAAACCAGGUUUAUUGUUUUUAUUCACCUCACCUAUACCGCUUAUCCAUUUUGCGCCCUUCGUCGUUACGAAUGCCGAUACGAGGUCGAGGAGUACGAUUAUGCCUCCUAGAGGCUAGUUGCUGCAAUGCUUAUUAUCUCUUUGAACUACAUCCGUGGUGAAUAUCUAUUGGAUUUUGAGAAUUCUUAGAUGUAAUUGAAAACUCGUCUCAACGUUAUAAAUACUAGAAUUUUCUUUUCUUAGCGUUCGAUGUUCUCAACUUUUAAAUUUGAGAACAUAUUAAUAAAGAAUUUUUGCCGAAUAUUUGAAAUCCCUUAAUGCGAUAGAAUUAUUAUCUGAACUCUAUCGAUAUUAAAAUUCGUUUCAGCAUUCUCUUUCUUGCUCUAUAAUUCGUCGAGGAUUUCUACUACAUUUUCUGGAAUUCUUAGAUGAGAUUGAAAAUUGUUAAUUUUAAUUUUAGCGUUAUAAAUGCCAGAUUCCUCUUUUAAUUUACAAUGCUACAGACAUAAUUCUUGAUUUCCAAUUAAUUUUGUCAAAUUUUCUAGAAAAGCUGGAUGACUCGUGCUGUUACAUUAAUUUUAUCGCUACUAUCAUUCCACGAAAGAAGAGUAAAUAUAAAAAUAUAAAUCACGUGUCUUAAAUUUGCAUCAUAUAAUUC